rnacentral:rRNA from 1 species
AUUGAACGCUAGCGGGAUGCUUAACACAUGCAAGUCGAACGAGUGGCGGACGGGUGAGUAAUGUAUCGGCACGUGCCCAGUAGCGGGGGAUAACUACUCGAAAGAGAGUCCUAUUACGCCUACUCUUGGAGUGGCCGAUAUCGGAAUAGCUAGUGGGUGGGGUAAAGGCUAACCAAGGCAACGAUCCGGAGCUGGUUUGAGAGGACGACCGGCCACAUUGGGACGGGGACACGGCCCAGACUCCGACGGGAGGAAGCAGUGGGGAAUUUUGGACAAGGGGGGAAACCCUGAUCCAGCAAUCCCGCGUGUAUGAGAAGGCCUUCGGUUUGUAAAGUACUUUUGUCAGAGAAGCGGUAUCUGCAGAAUAAGCACCGGCUAACUACGUGCCAGCAGCCGCGGUAAUAC